rnacentral:rRNA from 1 species
UACGUAGGGUGCAAGCGUUAUCCGGAAUUAUUGGGCGUAAAGAGCUCGUAGGCGGUUUGUCGCGUCUGCUGUGAAAACUGGAGGCUCAACCUCCAGCCUGCAGUGGGUACGGGCAAACUAGAGUGCGGUAGGGGAGAUUGGAAUUCCUGGUGUAGCGGUGGAAUGCGCAGAUAUCAGGAGGAACACCGAUGGCGAAGGCAGAUCUCCUGGGCCGUAACUGACGCUGAGGAGCGAAAGCAUGGGGAGCGAACAGGAUAGAA